rnacentral:rRNA from 1 species
GACGAACGCUGGCGGCGUGCCUAAUACAUGCAAGUCGAACGCAGUGGGGACGGGUGAGUAACACGUGGGUAACCUCCCAUCAGAGGGGAUAACACUUGGAAGCAGGUGCUAAACCGAUACUGAUGGAUGGACCCGCGGUGCAUUAGCUAGUUGGUGAGGUAACGGCUCACCAAGGCCACGAUGCAUAGCGGACCUGGGAGGGGGAGCGGCCACACUGGGACUGAGACACGGCCCGGCUUCCUACGGGAGGCAGCAGUAGGGAAUCUUCGGCAAUGGACGAAAGUCUGACCGAGCAACGCCGCUGGAGUGAAGAAGGUCUUCGGAUCGUAAGACUCUGUUAUUAGGGAAGCGGUACCUAAUCAGAAAGCCACGGCUAACUACGUGCCAGCAGCCGCGGUAAUAC